GUAGGUGGCAAGCGUUGUCCCGAAUUAUUGGGCGUAAAGCGCGCGCAGGCGGUUCUUUAAGUCUGAUGUGAAAGCCCACGGCUCAACCGUGGAGGGUCAUUGGAAACUGGAGAACUUGAGUACAGAAGAGGAAAGCGGAAUUCCACGUGUAGCGGUGAAAUGCGUAGAGAUGUGGAGGAACACCAGUGGCGAAGGCGGCUUUCUGGUCUGUAACUGACGCUGAGGCGCGAAAGCGUGGGGAGCAAACAGGGAUUAGAUACCCUGGUAGUCCACGCCGUAAACGAUGAGUGCUAAGUGUUAGGGGGUUUCCGCCCCCUUAGUGCUGCAGCUAACGCAUUAAGCACUCCGCCUGGGGAGUACGGCCGCAAGGCUG
rnacentral:rRNA from 1 species